AGGCUGUAAGAAUUUAAGUUGCAGAUAAAGUAAAUAAAGUGUACCAGGAGCAAGAAAAUGGCAACAGGAUUAAUGACAGUUUGAUUAUGUGGCAUUUGUGGGGAAGUCAAUUGUUCCAAAAUUACAGAUGAAAAAUAUUCUUGAUAGCAACGACCGCAUGCUGAUGAUGAUAUACAAUGAAUACAAAAUGAAUUCCGGUACACACUUCCUGACGCUUGCAUGCACACAUAUACGAAAUAUCGCUUGCCAUUAUAUUAUUUAAACAACAUAACCAUAAUCGAUAAACUACAGCUAAUUAUGAACACGCUUGAUAUUGCAUAUUUUUUGUAUGAUUAGAUUUUAAUAUAAUAAGGUCGCCACAAUAUAACAGCUUUCUUCAACAAAUAAACAUAAUUAUUUAAAUUUUUUGUAGGUGUUUUUUAUCUUAUGUUGCGUUGCACACGUUGAUCAAACUGAUAUAUCGUUUAAAUAUUCCUUUCUAACAGGAUUGCAUAUAUACCGAGUUUCUACACAAAUUGUUACAACGUGUCAAAUAUAAAAGUAUUAAGAACGUUAGGGAUUUAAACUUAACUAAAACAAGGAUUUUUUUACAAUGCGUCACAUUUUAAAUACGACAGACAAAUUCUUGCAUUAGGGAGGUGCUACUGAAAAAUAUUUCUUAUUCGUUCUUUUUUUGUUACUAAGAUGCGUUGAUUAAGCGCUUUUAUCACAUAAGCGCUCUGUUUAGAUCAAAAAUGUUAAAAACUUAACUUAUUUCACAACUUUUCCUUCAAGGCUGCACUACAACAAUGUUUCCUUUUCUUUUUUUAAUUAAUUGCUCUCCUCUUUCUCCACACCUCCAUAGUUUUACAUCCGAACAUCGAUAAUUAAAUCUUCAGUUUUUUUGCGCAAAAUAUAAGGUGGUAGCCUUUUAAUGGCCAACGGAAGAAUAUUGUUGGGGAAAGUUUAAGCUGUCUUACAUUGCUCGAGUCCCAAAAUUGCUUUCAUGACAAAAGAUUAUUUGAUUCCAUGUAUUUCGAAAGUUGUUGAUGAAUACAUUUCUCGAUUAUCUGUGGAAAAACAAGCAGAACCCUUUUGCAAUUUCUUUUUAUUUGCGGUCUCGGUUCCGUUUAGCGUUUAAUAUAGUCCUUUUUUGCCUUCGCAGGAAAGAGAUUUUUCAAGCAUUUUCAGAAAGUUUCAAACUUGAAAUAUUGUCUUGGAGUUGAUUUUUACAGUAUUCUAUCUCGGCUUUUUUGAUUAGAAUAUUUACGUAGUUUUUCUUCCGCUAAUAGACCGACGUCGCAAUCUUAACCUGACUUUCUUGCUUUUCGUAAUAAAUUGCGUGUUGUAUUGUCCCUAACUCAUCUAGACUGUUUCUGAAUUAUAAUGUUUGUAAUUUCGACUCGUUAAUUUCUUUGGAGCGAAUUUUGUAACAAAUUUCUUUUUGAUACAGUCAACCGUGUCGUGAUCGCUUAGACUGGAUGAAAGCGUUUUACCAUGUGAAAUGGUGUUCGGACAAUUUGAUAGUACAACGUCUGUUAAAGUUGCACUAUUUUCGGUUAUUUUCGUUGGUUGUGUAAUUAUUUGUUUGAAACCAAAGGUAGUGAAUAUAUCUUUUAUCUCUAUGUGA